rnacentral:lncRNA from 1 species
CAUCAAUCAAGUUUUAACGUUUUAGUUGCUUGUAAUUAUGUCCACUAGAAAAUUUGAAUCUGUAUAUUCUAAAAGAAAAUCGAAUAAAAAAGUUGAACAAUUAAUUAAAUCUCAAGAGGGAGCCCUUGAUAAAUUUUUUAGUGGCAGUAAACAAAAACAUAAUGAAGGCGUGGUUACUGAAAGAGAGUCCAAUAAGAACGAUAUCAGUGAUAAUACAAUUGAAAAACAUCAUUGUUUGAUGAAUGAAGAGGUAUUUAUCGGGGAUGAUGUUAUGGAUGAAAGAAACAUUAAUGAAAAGGAUAAAUUGGAUAGUGAACCAUUUUCCCUUGACACUAGUGAUCCAACAAAUUGGAAAAAUAUGAAUCAAAAUUUAAGAGACUUAAUUGUAAUGAAAGGUCCAGUAUGAGACAAUAAUGUAAUUUUUCUAAAAGAUGCAGCUAAUCGACACUUCUCCUCAGGAAAGGGACUUUUUGAUGGACUAGUGAAUUCGUUGAAUAAUCUAGAACUUGACAUUGAUAAUAUAAGGGGUUAAGGAUAUUAUAAUAGUGCUAAAAUGAAAAGAAAACAUAAAAGGGUACAGAAUAGACUACUACAAGUAAAUCCUAGAGCAUUCUACACUCCGUGUGGGUGUCAUAGUUUCAAUCUUGUACUUUGUGAUAUGAUUACUUGCUAUACAAAAGCAAAAUCUUUUUCUGGAGUGGUGCAAUAUAUAUACACUUUGUUUUCAUCAUCUACUAAAAGAUAGAAAUUUUUUAAAGAUAAUGUAAAUGGCCUUACCCUUAAGCCUUUGUUAC